GUGUGCUUUAAAAUACAAGAGAAAAGGGGUUUCUUCCUGCAACUGCUAGUAGAGAGAGAUGAAAACGCACCUGCAGCAGCUGCACCAACAACAUCCCUCAUGGAGUCCCUGGUGUGGAGGACCAAUCUUGUCUGAUAGUUAGAGUUGGCGGCGUAAAAAUCUGAGAGGGCCAUGUUGAUGCAACUCAACCACUUGUUGGCUUCAGGAUUCUCCAGGUCAAGAACCACUCCUACAUUCACCGAGAUUGUGGUGUUUUGACUUUGCGCCAUCAUCAUCAUCAUGUUCAUCUCUGUCAACCAAAGAAACCAAACCAGAGACAACGAUAGAGCUGCAGGUUUUGAAGGGCUCCUCCUCAUCUUAGGAUGCUUACACUGAUUGAAAUGAAAUGAAGUGGUUGGUGUGUUUCCUUUGAACACAACUUGUUAGAUUUAUAACAAGGAAUAUAUAUAAGAUGGAUGCACAAGGAUGUGGAGAUAUAAAGGCUCCACAAUGAAAAUAAAGAUUAAAAAAAAAAAAAGUGUCCUGAAUAGUAGGAGUGCGUGCAGUGAAGGUUGAGUUUUGUAGUCAAAGAUGUAACUUUGUCUUGUAGCAGAAUCGUUUACUUCUUAAUUUUCUAACAAGAAAUGGUUUAUCUUGACCAAAUCAAACUUUGCAACUUACUUUUAAUUCUA